rnacentral:SRP_RNA from 1 species
CAUUGGUUCCCUCGCGACGGUUAACUGCGAACUCCGCCAGGUCCGGAAGGAAGCAACGGUAGUGGGGAUAUUGGGCGCCGAGGUGUGGCUGAUGCAG